GUGAUGGUGCUUGCACUAUCACUUAGCGGCGGACGGGUGAGUAAUGCUUAGGAAUCUGCCUAUUAGUGGGGGACAACAUUUCRAAAGGAAUGCUAAUACCGCAUACGUCCUACGGGAGAAAGCAGGGGAUCUUCGGACCUUGCGCUAAUAGAUGAGCCUAAGUCGGAUUAGCUAGUUGGUGGGGUAAAGGCCUACCAAGGCGACGAUCUGUAGCGGGUCUGAGAGGAUGAUCCGCCACACUGGGACUGAGACACGGCCCAGACUCCUACGGGAGGCAGCAGUGGGGAAUAUUGGACAAUGGGCGCAAGCCUGAUCCAGCCAUGCCGCGUGUGUGAAGAAGGCCUUAUGGUUGUAAAGCACUUUAAGCGAGGAGGAGGCUACUGAAGUUAAUACCUUCAGAUAGUGGACGUUACUCGCAGAAUAAGCACCGGCUAACUCUGUGCCAGCR
rnacentral:rRNA from 1 species